rnacentral:rRNA from 1 species
UACGUAGGGUGCAAGCGUUAAUCGGAAUUACUGGGCGUAAAGCGUGCGCAGGCGGUUUUGUAAGUCAGCUGUGAAAUCCCCGGGCUUAACCUGGGAACUGCGUUUGAAACUACAAGGCUAGAGUGUGGCAGGGGGGGGUGGAAUUCCACGUGUAGCAGUGAAAUGCGUAGAGAUGUGGAGGAACACCGAUGGCGAAGGCAGCCCCCUGGGCUGAGAUUGACGCUCAGGCACGAAAGCGUGGGGAGCAAACAGG